rnacentral:tRNA from 1 species
GCCCCGGUGGCGGAACGGCAUACGCGGCAGGUUGAGGGCCUGUGCCUUCGGGCGUGGAGGUUCGAAUCCUCUCCGGGGCA